GGGCAUUUCCUUGUGAUGGUAUAAAUGGCCCGUUCUGCAGACAGGGGCUCAGUGAUCUGUAUCAGACCCGAGUGCAGCGAUCAAGAUGAUGUCACACAGCUGUUUGCUGAUCAUAUUAAUCAUUUGCAUGCAGGAAUGCCAAGGAGAGAUUGUGGUGACUCAGACUCCAGAGUCUGUGUCGGUUCUUCCAGGGGACUCGGUUACCAUGAGCUGUAAGACCAGUAGCAGUGUAUAUAGCAGCACCUAUAGUGUUAAUGGGUUGAGCUGGUACCAACAGAAACCAGGACAACCCCCAAAGCCCCUGAUCUAUUAUGCCAGCACCAGACACACCGGGACCCCAGAGCGGUUCAGCGGCAGCGGGUCGGGAACUGAUUUUACUUUUACCAUCAGCGGAGCGCAAGCAGAAGAUGCAGCAGAUUAUUACUGUCAGCAGACUUACAGCGACCCUCUCACAGUGAUACAGAGCCGUACAAAAACCUUCCUCUUUUUCACCAAAUCUGCAGCAUCAGAUUUGAUCUGUUUAGCUGCUACGUGGAGUAUUUAUACAGCUAAAGACAAGGAUUUGCCUACAGCGUGUAAAUAUGUGCAUUAACUUUAUGUUUUGGUCUCUUCUUCAUUAUAAUUAUUUAAAACUCCAAAUAUUUUAGAAAUUUGCACAAUGCAUUGAAAAGAAAUCCCCAGUGAAUCGGUGUUUGGAUGUAUUGAGCGCUUUCCAGGAUACGGUAUAAUAAAAGAGAAAAGGGAUAAUAAGGGCUACAAUGUUAUAAGUAAAGGAGUCCACAAACAUUUGGUCGGGGUACAGUAGGUAUGAAUAUAUUGGGAAAGGAACUCCAUGCCCUGUAAACCUUGCAGACUAUGUAUGGUUAGUUUUUUAAGAAAACAAAAUGAUGUUUAUUAGA